CUGUAAAGGAGGACGAAACCGAUGUUUAAGAAUGGGACAGCGAUAUUGCAUCAAUUUGUCUCCUUCAUUUGAUUCCACCAUCACCACAAGGUUGCAAGGGACCUGGAGAAAUGUCCUCCUAUCAAGCUGAAAAAUAUCUUCAAAAAGGCACUAAUAAGAACACCUUGAUUGCAUAGAAGAGACCACACAGCCAUACCUGCUCACUCAUGGGACAACGAGGAACAGCAUUCAUGGAUGCUACACAACUGUCGACAAGUAUCUUGCUGCAGUCUUGUUCAAAGCUACCUGUCAUAUUUGUUAAUGUCUAGGUAAAUUUGAUGAUUUUAUGUGUUUUAUUAACUGUUAUGUUUCAGUGCAACACUUAAUGAAUGUG